rnacentral:tRNA from 1 species
GGCCGAGUGGUGAAAGUGAAUCAUGUGUGUUUGCAAAACACAAGUUGCGUAUUAGGUUCGCCUUGGUCU